ensembl:lncRNA
GUAACGCUACUCAAGCCCCGGAGGAGCCAUGGUCGCCAGCAGGAUCUGAAAACUUUCUUCUGAGCAGCGCGAUGUCUGCCCUGCUGAUAGCCAGCUUGGCCUUUUUGGUUCUGGGACUUCUGUCCGUCUUAAUUCUCAGAUGGAUUGGCUGCAGGCUGGCCGUGCGCUUCUUCCACACCGUCCUGAACGCUGAGCUGAAGAUCAAGACUGUGGGCCUUUUUUCGCUCAGAGGAAUUAGUGUCCAGUUCUUGCCUCAGCACACACUGGUGAGUGAGUCAUUUUCAGCACUUGCUCACGAAGGGAAGCAGCGUUGAACUUGGAGACUCCGUUUUUGGAGAGGUUUCGUUGUCGGAGUCGUACCCUGUUAUUUCAGAGCAGCUAGACUAGGGAUGCUCCUCCCUGGCCUUUUAUCUACUUUAAGCUGAAGGACAUGGUUGGAGAUGUCACUCUCAGGUUCCUUGGUGAAAUGGAUGUCUGAGGUAAUAUGUGCUUGAAUCACAAUUUAAAUAAAAGGUUUGAAAAAAUAAUUUAUGUAGAAAUGAUUGAAAUAUAGGUGCAGUUACGUGGCUGAGGCGGACAAGUCUCCUCAGGAGAGAGUAGGCCUAUGAGUGGGACCGAAUGAACUCUUGACCUGGAUACAGGGAAUGCAUUGUAGAAGGCACCUGGAGCUUGGAGAGGCCAGCAAAACGGCUUACGUAGUAAAAGACAAGGACAAGUUGAUCCUCAACGAGCAAAGUAAUCUGGUGAGAACCGGCAAAAUCAACAGGUCUUGAGAUAAAUUAAUAAAGUAAGUUUCAGAAUGAUGGCCUUGGCCUGGCACCACCACAAGUUUAGAAAGAAUAGAUCCCAGGCAUGGCUGGAGCAGAACUUUCCAAGGAAAGUGUCAUUAAAUAACGGGAACCAAAAGUGAUUCAAAGUCAUAUAAUUAAUUAAAGGUUGGCGGGUGGGGUGAUGAGCUCAGCCUGAAGACAGGAUAUGAAGAAGAAUGCUUUGUGAUGAUCUUUGCGUCGUGGUUGUCCGGGAGCCGUCCUGAAGCUCAAUAAGCGAAGAGAGGGCCUUUUCCCUCCUUCCAGAAGAACUCCUCGACUGAAGUUUGUUUUUUCUUUUCCUUUUAUUUUUUGCAGAAGGCUUUUUAGUUUUAUGACCUUUUUUUGCGUAAGAGAUCAGAAGAAAUUCAGAGCAAAAAACCUAACUUGGAAUAAAUUAUCUUUAAUAUCACGCGUCCGGACGGGGGGCGAAGGCCGAGCCGCUCUGAGUCUCGACGCUGGAUGCGAGGAAAUAAUGAACAGCUUGACCCAAGCUCUAAUUAUUUUAACAUUGCUUGGGCAUAGAGGCAUCUAUGACUCCAGCAGUAAGUAUUUAGUUGUAACUACAACUUAAUCACAGGUGAGUAAUUACUUUUCAGUGAAUUACAUUGGUGUGACAUUGAACAGGGACAAAUAACAACCAGAUAACAAAUCAGCAAAGAUUAAAUAUUAACAGUAAGACCAUUUAGGGUUGGUUUUCUGGUUAGGGAUUAUACCUAGUCCUAGACUACACUUUCCUGUCAGGGAGGAAUCUCUGUUCGGAAUGCUGUGUAGAGCAGGACUAGGGAUUAACCCUGCCUGGGAAACAAACCCAUAAUUAACUACCCAAUAGUUAUGGAGUACUAUAUAUACACUAUAACUCCAUGAGUCACCCAUUCUAAGGCGUACACAUCACAGAACCCACGUUACACAGAAAUAUGGUUUAUAUUCCAAGUCUUGAAACUGCUUGAUGGUUCUCAUUGAAAAAUUUAAUCACACUGUGGCCUUUCUGGAAGGCUGGAAACAGAAACUUGUUUCCAGGAAUGUAGCAGCAUAUUAAUCUUGUAAAAACUGGGUGCCAAGAUCCGAUGUUCUGAUGAUUUUGUUCUGCUCAAUAUAGUACCUUAAAGUGUAUCAUAGUAAUGCGUUGAAGAGAUUCAAUUUUCCUAGUAAUACCUUGACUUGGUUUCAGAUUUUUGUUAUAUUAAAAAAAAAAUACAUUUUUGUAUCCAACUACUAUUUAUAACCAACUACAUUUACACUUUGGCAUUUUGGCUGAUGCUCUUAUCCAGAGUGACUUACAAUUUGAUCAUUUUACACAGGUAGGUGAAGGUGGUGUUAGGAGUCUUGCCCAAGGACUCUUAUUGGUAUAGUGUAGGGCGGUUACCCAGGCGGGGCACUGAACCCCAGUCUACAGCCUAGAAGGCAGAGGAGUUACCCACUACACUAACCAACCACCAGCUAUCCAAGCAGUCUCUUUCCUUCGUGACAGUAAGUGUUGUUAACAUCUGAAUGCUUAACUAACAUGUUUGCGUUUUUGUCCUGUAGGAAAUAGACAGAAUAUGGAUUUCAAGUAAAUUAGUCAACCAGGACUUACCGUAAGUAUUAAAAUUGGGCAACAUGCCUGAUUUCCUCCAGUGUAUUUUUAAAGCAUAGUAUGUGUACAUAGUGUUCCAGUUCUCUCAUUAGAGACACCCCUGUUUGUGCUAUAGGAGGUACUUGGCACUAUGUGUGGGAGAAACUCUGGUACGGAUUGACCUACAGGAGCCCCUCAAGCAGCAGGUGUCUCAGAACCAUGGGAAGAGCCCACGCAAGCCACCCAUCAGCCCCUCCACACUGCACUUCCUUUCCCAGGUAGGCCUCUGAAAUCAUCGCAGCUUCUGAUUCUGACUUUUAAACUUUCACUCACUUGGUGAAUCUUUCUCCACCCCAGUUGCUCUCACUCCACAUCGGCUCCAUAAACGUGAUGGUGCUGAAUCUGCUGCUGCCCGAGUCUCUCUGGCACAUGACCAGCACAGGAAUCACUCUGAUGCUUGAUCAUCAAAGCAAGAGGUGACUGGUGCAAAAUAAGCCUUUUUCCUUACCAAAUAAAUGCCGUGUUCAGUUUUGGACAUCGUUAAUGACUUUUACUGAGCUGAGAAGUCGCAUAAUUUUCAUGCUUUUCAGGUUAGCCUGGGACUUUUCGGUGGGACAGCUCAGCAGUAAAGUUCUAAAAAGCAGCAGACUGGUUUGUAUGCUCUUGAUGUUUAUGAACACACAUACACAUGGACGUCCAUUUGUGAAUUUUCUUUAGGUCUCCGGGUCACAUAUUAAACCUAGUUCUAGUCUAAAGAGCAUUUAAGGAGGGAUGUACAUUCCAACCAAUUUUGAUACCCAAGUAUCCAUGAGAGUUCACAAUAAAAUAAACAGAAAAAAAAAACUUUGGCUAAAUAUAAUGUAGUGCUGCAGACUUACAUUUUAGGUGACUGCACUGGGAAAAACGCACAAAAAAACAGCCGAGGGAAAUCGAAGCUUUUGCUCUGAAUGUGUAACGGAGGCUAACAGAUGAGCUACGUAGCUAACCAGUGUCAUGGUCAGUGCUGAUGAGGACUCGUCUCCUCCACGAGGUUUCCUUUCACUGAAAUGUUGGCGUGUUUAUUUUAUUAGGUUUCACUUCCUGCAGUGAAACAUAACGAAUACCAGAAAACCGAUUCCAGUGUUUGAAUAUUGGCUCCUCAGUUACCCAAGCACUCAGAUUAAGUGACCCUUAUUAGUCCCAUAACAGGGAAACUUCACCUCCUCAUUUAACCCAUCAGUGAAGUGAAACACCACAUGCACACACUAGGGGGCAGUGAGCGCACUUGCCUGGAGCGGUGGGCAGCCCAAUCCGCAGCGCCCGGGGAGCAGUUGGGGGUUAGGUGUCUUGCUCAAGGACACCUCAGUCAUGUGCUGUCAGCUCUGGGGAUCAAACCGGUGACCUUCCGGUCACGAGGCUGGUUCCCUGACCUCCAGCCCACGACUGCCCCACAAUACCUGUGCAAAUCCCUAAUUUUAC